UACAGAGGUCUCAAGCGUUGCUCGGAUUCAUUGGGCGUAAAGGGUGCGUAGGCGGCGCGGUAAGUCGGGUGUGAAAUCUCGGAGCUUAACUCCGAAACUGCAUUCGAUACUGCCGUGCUUGAGGACUGGAGAGGAGACUGGAAUUUACGGUGUAGCGGUGAAAUGCGUAGAUAUCGUAAGGAAGACCAGUGGCGAAGGCGGGU
rnacentral:rRNA from 1 species